GUGCUUUGGCAGCACCUAUACUAAAACUGCAACAAUUACAGAGAUUAUUCUCUGAGCAAGGAUGGCAUGCAAAUUUGUGAAGCUUUCUAUUUUGUA
ensembl:snRNA U6 U6 spliceosomal RNA